rnacentral:rRNA from 1 species
AACGAACGCUGGCGGCAGGCUUAACACAUGCAAGUCGAGCGCCCCGCAAGGGGAGCGGCAGACGGGUGAGUAACGCGUGGGAAUCUACCUAGCUCUGCGGAAUAGCUCCGGGAAACUGGAAUUAAUACCGCAUACGUCCUUCGGGAGAGAGAUUUAUCGGAGUUAGAUGAGCCCGCGUUGGAUUAGCUAGUUGGCGGGGUAAUGGCCUACCAAGGCGACGAUCCAUAGCUGGUCUGAGAGGAUGAUCAGCCACACUGGGACUGAGACACGGCCCAGACUCCUACGGGAGGCAGCAGUGGGGAAUAUUGGACAAUGGGCGAAAGCCUGAUCCAGCCAUGCCGCGUGAGUGAUGAAGGCCCUAGGGUUGUAAAGCUCUUUCACCGGUGAAGAUAAUGACGGUAACCGGAGAAGAAGCCCCGGCUAACUUCGUGCCAGCCGCCGCCGUAACAC